CGCCAGACUCCUACGGGAGGCAGCAGUGGGGAAUAUUGCACAAUGGGGGAAACCCUGAUGCAGCGACGCCGCGUGAGCGAUGAAGUAUUUCGGUAUGUAAAGCUCUAUCAGCAGGGAAGAAAAUGACGGUACCUGACUAAGAAGCCCCGGCUAACUACGUGCCAGCAGCCGCGGUAAUACGUAGGGGGCAAGCGUUAUCCGGAUUUACUGGGUGUAAAGGGAGCGUAGACGGCUGUGCAAGCCAGAUGUGAAAGCCCGGGGCUCAACCCCGGGACUGCAUUUGGAACUGUGUGGCUGGAGUGUCGGAGAGGCAGGCGGAAUUCCUAGUGUAGUGGUGAAAUGCGUAGAUAUUAGGAGGAACACCAGUGGCGAAGGCGGCCUGCUGGACGAUGACUGACGUUGAGGCUCGAAAGCGUGGGAAGCAAACAGGAUUAGAUACCCUAGUA
rnacentral:rRNA from 1 species